CGGUGUUGCUGUUAGCGCCCGGAACCGGGGGCGCAGAGAGGCUUCAAGUGCAACAGCUGUCACACAGCAGGCCCAGCUCCAAGCUCCUUCCCAGCCUCAAGGAGCAUGUGUCUUCCAAGACAGUCCCAGGCCUGUCCUCCAGCCCUCCUAUCCGGUGCCACCUCCAUUCUCAUCUGCCAGCAGUCUCUCGGUCCCCUAAUGCAAAGCACAGGACUGAUUUGACCUCUGCACUCUUCCUCCUAAGGGCCACCCUCAAGGACAUUUACUCUACCUACACUAGUUAGGGUCCUCAGGUUACCAACCUCACUUCUUGGCUAGGGAGGUUUUCCUUCCAGUGUUUGUGAGCAAUGACUUUCUUACUUUCUGUACUGACAGCAAAAGAUUCAUAUAAGCAAGAGACAUUUGCCCUUGGCAAUCCAAGGCCAGUGAACUUGAAUCUCCUAGUAUCAUGGGCUUGGGAGGUUUAAGCUCCCUUUCCCAAAGACUUUUGCUGCCUUCCUGGGGUUGCCUUUUUUCCUGAUCCUCUAGAUUUCUUGCCCUAUAUAGUGGCUUGUUCAGGACAUCAGCCUGCACUUGGAAAUCAAUUCCUCUUCCAAAUUCAGCAACAAGCAAUUUGUCAUGGUGAGUGUUUGUGUUUGGUGGGCUGUGUGCUAGGGGGUGUUGGGAGGUCCUUGGUCCGCUGCCCAGCCCUGCACCACACUGCUAGCUCUCAUCUUUAUUUCUCGUUGCCUCUUUCUAGAGGAAAAAUUCCUGCCCCUGUUUACUGCAUACAAGUUCUGAAAUCGCUCCUGAAAUACAUCUUGGAGUGUUCUGUCAUUGUCCCGUCAAAUAUAGCCCUUUCCCUGCCUCUAUGUCAGUGUCCUUAUAUUUUAUAAUUUCCAUGAUAGCACAUAAAAAACACUUGGAAAAACGGUUGCUGCUCUCACCUAAAAUUUCAUGGGUGCUGCCACAAAGAAAACACGGUUUUAAUUUCAGAUUAUGAGCCCCUGCAUCUGCUGGGAGUUCUGAGCUUUUCAGUGCAUACAAGUCACCAGAGUUUAUGCAACCAGGUGUUAAAUCAUACACCAAAGAAUUGGAUGUUAAAAGUCAGGCCAACAAGACACAGGAAAAGUGACUCUGGGUAUCUGAUACUAGGUGGACAGGACCACAGUAUUGACUAGUUUCUCAGACUGGUGACCCUCUGGCUACGAUGUGAGCAUCACUCAGACAAUACUAUUAUGGAAUGGCUGUUCUUAAGGCUAGCAUUACUCUGUUGAGGAUUUUCUUUGAGGUGAUUCUGGAAGAUGCAAUGUCUUUGCAGUGGUGCCUCUACCUUUGUUGAUUUGAUGCAAGAGGCCAAAGACAGACAUUGACACAACAGUUAGUACCAUAAGAGGGGACAGGAGGUCUCAACAUGGCCUUGCCCAGGUUAGAAACUAUAAGCACAAGGUAAGCCUGGAGAGGAUUGGCUGUCCCAGGGGAAAAUAUCAAACUGGCAGUGCUGGCCCAAAAGAAGGCCAUCGUUACUGUAGGCUGCAAAUAGUGUGAGGUUUUGCUCUGAGAGUGACUCCGUCAGCACUGCAGGGUGGAGUUGGAAAAGAAAUUCAUUGUAGUGUCUGCAGAGCCAUUUGGGGAAAGAGUUUGUUGUUUAAGACUGAGCUAUUCUGGGAAUCAGAAGUCACAAAAUAUCACUGUCUCUGGGGUCACCCUACCACAGUGAAAUAGAUCUUUGCCCUGACUCGUGGGAGAGUCAUGGAGAGGAGGCAGGCCUACUUGAAGCACAGAGCUUAGUGGUCUGUUUGAUUUCACAUCUGCCAGUGUAAUCAAGAUACCUGAGAUUGUAGAAGUGACACAUCCUGGGGAAUACAGACAGAAGGACCUCUGGAGAUGGGGGUACCUCAUGAGCCCAUAAACCAUAAAGCUAGUCAGAGAUGACCGUGACUUGGGGUAUCCAGAAGGGCACCAACAGCACCAACACUAAAAACUGCUGGAGUGAACACAACCCUAAGGCAGAUACCAUACCACUGACCCUGCCCAGGGGGAAGGUGGAGCAGGACUCAGCAUUCACGCACACAAACAGUGGGCAUGCAAACAAAACAGGCCCUCGUCGUGAUUCACUGUCCUCUACCUGUAUAUGGUAGAUCCCAAUAGCACAGGCCUGGAGAUGGACCACUCCCUUAAACAAGGGAGUGAAGUUUUUGAGAUCAUUUCUCUGUGGUUUUUUUUUUUUUGUUUGUUUGUUUUUUCUUAUCUUUGUUCUUUUAUUGAUUUUUUCUUUUACCCUUACCUGAUUCCACUUUCUUUUAUUCUUUAAUUUGAUUUUUUUCUUAAUUUUCUUCUCAUCUUCCUUUUCUUUUCAAGUUUUACUUCUUUCAUUUUCUCUAACCUCUUCCAUUUUAAAAAUUAUUACUAUUAUACUUUAUUACUCUUUAGCUAUUCAGUUGACUAUGCUAUUAUUGCUGAGUUGUUUCUUAUUGUUAAUGGUGCUAUAGUUAUGCUUUUAGUAGAUAUUUAUUAAAUGUCAGUAUUUGGUUUGUGUCUGCAUAAUUAUUGCAGGUCUCUUUUUCAUUGUAAAGUUGUAGCUAUUAUUGGUUCUUAACAGUAUGUUAAUAUCCUGUAAUAAACCUAUUUCUUAUCUAUUGUUGAUGGUGGCAUAAUUGUUGCUUUUAAUUAGUUUCCAGUGUAUGGUAAUAUCCAGUUUGUUUUGUAUUGUCUUUUCUUCUCUGAGUAGUGCUGAGGGUCAAGCCUCCAAAAAAAGUCUGGGCACCAAGAAGAAUUUAAAAUGUUGCAUUCAAUAGGAUGAAGAGGAGUAUAAAUACCAAAAUAUAACUAAAUCCAAGAACACAUCACAGGGAGACAGAAUCUAAUUCUGUCACCACAGUAGUGACAGAAGCUCCCCACCCUAAUCAAUCUUCAACCAGCAGUGUAAAAAAGAGAGAUACAUGAGAAAGGAAAGUGACAAGAUGCCUUCCAACCUCUGUAACUCCCCCAAAGCUUAUCUCAUGGAGACUGAAAUAGAGGAAGCUACAGGGAAAGAAAGAAACCAAAUGGUCAAAAUGAUUAAGAGGUAAAAGAAGAAACAUAUAAACGAAUGUCUGAGAUGUUUAAUGUGCUCAAAGAGGAUUUAAGUGAACAGAUAAAAUAUUUUAUCGAUAAAGUGUUAAACUGAGUUAAACAAGAAGACACAGUAUAUGAGUGAUCACUUGGUAAAGAAUUAGAAAA